rnacentral:rRNA from 1 species
UACAGAGGUCUCGAGCGUUAGGCGGAAUCACUGGGCUUAAAGCGUGCGCAGGCGGUGAUGUAAGACAGUUGUGAAAUCCCCGGGCUCAACCUGGGAACUGCAUCUGUGACUGCAUCGCUGGAGUGCGGCAGAGGGGGAUGGAAUUCCGCGUGUAGCAGUGAAAUGCGUAGAUAUGCGGAGGAACACCGAUGGCGAAGGCAAUCCCCUGGGCCUGCACUGACGCUCAUGCACGAAAGCGUGGGGAGCAAACAGG